rnacentral:rRNA from 1 species
CUCCUGGAAACGGGUGGUAAUGCCGGAUGCUCCGGUUGGAUGCAUGUCCUUCCGGGAAAGAUCCGUCGGUAUGGGAUGGGGUCGCGUCCUAUCAGCUUGAUGGCGGGGUAACGGCCCACCAUGGCUUCGACGGGUAGCCGGCCUGAGAGGGCGACCGGCCACAUUGGGACUGAGAUACGGCCCAGACUCCUACGGGAGGCAGCAGUGGGGAAUAUUGCACAAUGGGCGCAAGCCUGAUGCAGCGACGCCGCGUGCGGGAUGGAGGCCUUCGGGUUGUAAACCGCUUUUGAUCGGGAGCAAGCCCUUCGGGGUGAGUGUACCUUUCGAAUAAGCACCGGCUAACUACGUGCCAGCAGCCGCGGUAAUACGUAGGGUGCAAGCGUUAUCCGGAAUUAUUGGGCGUAAAGGGCUCGUAGGCGGUUCGUCGCGUCCGGUGUGAAAGCCCAUCGCUUAACGGUGGGUCUGCGCCGGGUACGGGCGGGCUGGAGUGCGGUAGGGGAGACUGGAAUUCCCGGUGUAACGGUGGAAUGUGUAGAUA